rnacentral:telomerase_RNA from 1 species
AGGGCCCGCGAGGGGUGAGCGUCCUUUGUUGUCUAACCCUAACUGAGAUGGGCAUAGGCGCCGCACUUUUGCUUCCCACGCUGACUUUCAGCGGGCGGAAAAGCCUUGGUCUAUUGCCGUCUACUAUGCGUACCUGGAGCAAACAAAAAAUGUCAGCCGCUGGUCCACUCGCCCGGUCGGGGAAACUGCGGUGGCUCGGCCGCCCUGCUCCCGCGCUCCGCCUAGAGGCCGCGGUCCGCCCGGGGCUUCUCCGGAGGUGCCCAGUGCAGCCCCGAAGAGUUAGGCUUUUUCAGCCACGGAUACCGAGGGGGCCGAGGGUGAGGUUCAGGCCCCUGGGCCGCAGGAAGAAAAACAAAGCAAGUUCCCAUGCCCGCUGUGCUUCCCUGAACUGUGGGUCGUGCGCCUGGGACUCGGCUCCCACAUGU